AUUUGAACAAUAUUGUUACUUUAAUUUUACCAUUUCUAUCACUGCAAAAAUGCGAACUACACCAUUUGGGCUCAGUUAUGCAAAGCCUAUGCUCAUAAAAUUUCAACUUGGAACAACAAGAGAAACACUGGCUAUUUGUAAAUGUGAACUCAUCAACUAGUUGACUCUAUGUUGCUAAUUAAUUCAUAUUAUUCGUAAUUUACCGGCAUUGCGCUUCAGCAUACCAGUUCUCAGCAUGUCCUCAAUCCCUUCUUAAACGAUCUAGGCUCCAUAGCCUGAAUUGUCCAUCGGGUUCCCAGCAACUGCAGGUUCAGGCACCUUGAUCUCAGUGACAACAGCAUCUGAUGUCAAAAAGGUCCUUGCAACUGAAGCUGCAUGCUCCAAGCAACAUCUUACCACUUUUGUAGGAUCAAUUAUACCAGCAGCCAUUAAAUCUUCA
rnacentral:misc_RNA from 1 species